rnacentral:tRNA from 1 species
UAGAAUAGAGCUAUUAGCAUCUUACUUACAUUAAGAAAAUCCUUUAAAGGUAUUCUAU